AUUGAACGCUGGCGGCAGGCCUAACACAUGCAAGUCGAACGAGUGGCGGACGGGUGAGUAAUGUCUGGGAACCUGCCCGAUGGAGGGGGAUAACUACUGGAAACAGUAGCUAAUACCGCAUACCAUCGGAUGUGCCCAUAUGGGAUUAGCUAGUAGGUGGGGUAAAGGCUCACCAAGGCGACGAGCCCUAGCUGGUCUGAGAGGAUGACCGGCCAAACUGGAACGGAGACACGGUCCAGACUCCUACGGGAGGCAGCAGUGGGGAAGAUGGGACAAUGGGCGCAAGCCUGAUGCAGCCAUGCCGCGUGUAUGAAGAAGGCCUUCGGGUUGUAAAGUACUUUCAGCGAGGAGGCGUUACUCGCAGAAGAAGCACCGGCUAACUCCGUGCCAGCAGCCGCGGUAAUUC
rnacentral:rRNA from 1 species